ACAUUAAUGUUCAAAUUUAAUAUUAAAUUCAAAAUUUUAAAUAUAAAUUUAAAAUUAAAAUUUAAAAUUUAAAAUGUAAUUAUCGGUUUUAAUUUUUAAAUUAUAAAUCUCAAAAUUUUAAAUUUAAAUUUUUAAUAUUUUAAAAUUUUAAAUUCAAUUUUAAUUUUAAUUUUAAUUUUAAUUUUAAUUUUUAUUCUUAUUUUUAAUUUUAAAGUUUAAAUAUUUAAUAUUUUAAAUUUUAAAUUUAGAUUAUAAAUUUUAAAUUGAAAAUAUAAAAUUGAUAGG
rnacentral:lncRNA from 1 species